GACGAACGCUGGCGGCGUGCUUAACACAUGCAAGUCGAACGGUGAAAGACGAGCUUGCUCUUCUGGAUCAGUGGCGAACGGGUGAGUAACACGUGAGUAACCUGCCCCAGACUCUGGGAUAAGCGCUGGAAACGGCGUCUAAUACCGGAUACGAGACACAGCUGCAUGGCUAGUGUCUGGAAAGUUCUUCGGUCUGGGAUGGACUCGCGGCCUAUCAGCUUGUUGGUGGGGUAACGGCUUACCAAGGCAACGACGGGUAGCCGGCCUGAGAGGGCGACCGGCCACACUGGGACUGAGACACGGCCCAGACUCCUACGGGAGGCAGCAGUGGGGAAUAUUGCACAAUGGGCGAAAGCCUGAUGCAGCGACGCCGCGUGAGGGAUGACGGCCUUCGGGUUGUAAACCGCUUUCAGCAGGGAAGAAGCGAAAGUGACGGUACCUGCAGAAGAAGCACCGGCUAACUACGUG
rnacentral:rRNA from 1 species